rnacentral:tRNA from 1 species
GCAAUGAUGGUUCAGUGGUAGAAUUCUCACUUUCAAUGUGGGAGACCUGGGUUUGACUCCCAGCCAAUACA